rnacentral:tRNA from 1 species
GACACAGAUCUUUAGAAAUUAACGCUGAUAAUGUUAAUUAGUAAUUUAAUUAUUACCUGUGUCU